rnacentral:pre_miRNA from 1 species
UCUCUGGGCCUGUGUCUUAGGCUCUUCAAGAUCCAACGAGCAAAGCACAGGGCCUGCAGAGAGG